GCUUGUCUCAAAGAUUAAGCCAUGCAUGUCUAAGUAUAAACUUCUUUAUACCGUGAAACUGCGUACAGCUCAUUAUAUCAGUAAUGAUUUAUUUGAUGGUAUGUUCCUACAUGGAUAUCUGUAGUAAUUCUUGAGCUAAUACAUGCGAAAAAUCUCGACUCACGGAGAGAUGCUUUUAUUAGAUCAAAACCAAACGGCUUCGGCCGUCUCAUUGGUGACUCUGAAUAACUUUGGGCUGAUCGUAUGGCCUUGUGCCGACGACGUUUCCUUCGAAGGUGUGCCCUAUCAACUGUCGACUGUGAUAUAGACGCUCACAGUGGUUUUGACGGGUAACGGGGAAUCAGGGUUCGAUUCCGGAGAGGGAGCCUUAAAAACGGCUACCACAUCCAAGGAAGGCAGCAGG
rnacentral:rRNA from 1 species